UAAGCAUAUCAAUAAGCGGAGGAAAAGAAACCAACAGGGAUUGCCUCAGUAACGGCGAGUGAAGCGGCAACAGCUCAAAUUUGAAAUCUGGCCCCCUCGGGGUCCGAGUUGUAAUUUGUAGAGAGUGUUUCGGGUGAGACCACGGUCUAAGUCUAUUGGAACAUGGCGUCAUAGAGGGUGAGAAUCCCGUAUGUGACCGUGGCUCGAGCCCAUGUGAAGCCUCUUCGACGAGUCGAGUUGUUUGGGAAUGCAGCUCAAAAUGGGUGGUAAAUUUCAUCUAAAGCUAAAUACUGGCUGGAGACCGAUAGCGCACAAGUAGAGUGAUCGAAAGAUGAAAAGCACUUUGGAAAGAGAGUCAAAAAGUACGUGAAAUUGUUGAAAGGGAAGCGCUUGCAACCAGACCUGUCCGUAGGUGAUCAGCCGCUGUUCUCAGCGGUGCACUCGCUCUGCGAUCAGGCCAGCAUCGGUUUCGGCGGUCGGAUAAAGGCCUUGGGAAUGUAGCUUCCUUCGGGGAGUCUUAUAGCCCUCGGUGCAAUGCGGCCAGCCGGGACCGAGGACCGCGCUUCGGCUAGGAUGCUGGCGUAAUGGUUGUAAGCGACCCGUCUUGAAACACGGACCAAGGAGUCUACCAUCUAUGCGAGUGUUUGGGUGUCAAACCCAUGCGCGGAAUGAAAGUGAACGGAGGUGAGAACCCUUUAGGGCGCAUCAUCGACCGAUCCAGAUGUCUUCGGAUGGAUUUGAGUAUGAGCAUAGCUGGUGGGACCCGAAAGAUGGUGAACUAUGCCUGAAUAGGGUGAAGCCAGAGGAAACUCUGGUGGAGGCUCGCAGCGGUUCUGACGUGCAAAUCGAUCGUCAAAUUUGGGUMUAGG
rnacentral:rRNA from 1 species